UACGAAGGGGGCUAGCGUUGUUCGGAUUUACUGGGCGUAAAGCGCGUGUAGGCGGGUCGUUAAGUUGGGGGUGAAAUCCCGGAGCUCAACUCCGGAACUGCCUCCAAAACUGGCGACCUGGAGCAGAGGAGAGGCGAGUGGAAUUCCGAGUGUAGAGGUGAAAUUCGUAGAUAUUCGGAGGAACACCAGUGGCGAAGGCGACUCGCUGGACUCUUGCUGACGCUGAGACGCGAAAGCGUGGGGAGCAAACAGG
rnacentral:rRNA from 1 species